GACUCGAUGACGUAGCGGUAACGCAUCCGCUUAUGCUCGACAGUAUCUUCCGUGGAAGUCGCCGGUUCGAAUGCGGCUCGUGCUG